rnacentral:rRNA from 1 species
UGGGGAAUCUUGGACAAUGGGGGCAACCCUGAUCCAGCCAUGCCGCGUGAGUGAUGAAGGCCUUAGGGUCGUAAAGCUCUUUCGCCUGUGAAGAUAAUGACGGUAGCAGGUAAAGAAACCCCGGCUAACUCCGUGCCAGCAGCCGCGGUAAUACGGAGGGGGUUAGCGUUGUUCGGAAUUACUGGGCGUAAAGCGCACGUAGGCGGACCAGAAAGUUGGGGGUGAAAUCCCGGGGGCUCAACCCCGGAACUGCCUCCAAAACUAUUGGUCUAGAGUUCGAGAGAGGUGAGUGGAAUUCCAAGUGUAGAGGUGAAAAUUCGUAGAUAUUAGGUGGAACACCAGUGGCGAAGGCGCCUAAACUGGUCCCGGUACUGACGCUGAGGAACGAAAAGCGUGGGGGAAGCAAACAGGAUUAGAUACCCUGGUAGUCCACGCCGUAAAACGAUGAGUGCCCAGUCGUCGGGGUAGCAUGCUAUUUCGGUGACACACCUAAC